rnacentral:rRNA from 1 species
AAUGAACGCUGGCGGCGUGCUUAACACAUGCAAGUCGAACGAGAAAAGUUCCUUCGGGGGCUGAGUACAGUGGCGGACGGGUGAGUAACGCGUGGGUAAUCUGCCCUUGAGCGGGGGACAACUUGGGGAAACUCGAGCUAAUACCGCGUAACAUUGUUGGCGCUUCGGCGCUAACUCUCAAAGGUGGCAGCAAUGCUGCCGCUCAAGGAGGAGCCCGCGUCCCAUUAGCUUGUUGGUGGGGUAAUGGCCUACCAAGGCUUCGAUGGGUAGCCGGCCUGAGAGGGUGAUCGGCCACACUGGAACUGAGACACGGUCCAG